UACGAAGGGUGCAAACGUUGCUCGGAAUUAUUGGGCGUAAAGCGCACGUAGGCGGCUUGCCAAGUCGGACGUGAAAUCCCUCAGCUCAACUGAGGACGUGCAUCCGAAACUGGCGAGCUUGAGUACUGAAGAGGAUCGCGGAAUUCCCAGUGUAGAGGUGAAAUUCGUAGAUAUCGGGAGGAACACCAGUGGCGAAGGCGGCGAUCUGGGCAGAUACUGACGCUGAGGUGCGAAAGCGUGGGGAGCGAACAGG
rnacentral:rRNA from 1 species